rnacentral:rRNA from 1 species
CCUACGGGAGGCAGCAGUGAGGAAUAUUGGUCAAUGGACGCAAGUCUGAACCAGCCAUGCCGCGUGCAGGAAGACGGCUCUAUGAGUUGUAAACUGCUUUUGUACGAGGGUAAACGCAGAUACGUGUAUCUGUCUGAAAGUAUCGUACGAAUAAGGAUCGGCUAACUCCGUGCCAGCAGCCGCGGUAAUACGGAGGAUUCAAGCGUUAUCCGGAUUUAUUGGGUUUAAAGGGUGCGUAGGCGGUUGGAUAAGUUAGAGGUGAAAUCCCGAGGCUCAACUUCGGAAUUGCCUCUGAUACUGUUAGGCUAGAGAGUAGUUGCGGUAGGCGGAAUGUAUGGUGUAGCGGUGAAAUGCUUAGAGAUCAUACAGAACACCGAUUGCGAAGGCAGCUUACCAAGCUACGUCUGACGUUGAGGCACGAAAGCGUGGGGAGCAAACAGGAUUAGAUACCCGGGUAGUC